ACCUCAAAUCCGUUAUGCAUUAACUUGUUGAAACUAAUAAAUCUUUUUUUUUUUUUCACCUCACAUCUCAAAUAUUUUUCUUUUUCACACACUUGUCUAUUCUCUUUUACCUAAACCUAUUUACAUAAGUAGAAAGGUUGUUGUUUUGCUUUCACAUUUUUUAUUGUUGUCGCUCGUUUUCUCUCUUUAUUGUUGCCGCUUCACCUUUGACUCUCUUUAUUCUUGUCGUUUCACCUUCGCC
rnacentral:lncRNA from 1 species